AAGACCUUGCGCUUUUGGAGCGGCCGAUGCCUGAUUAGCUUGUUGGUAAGGUAAAGGCUUACCAAGGCUUCGAUCAGUAGCUGGUCUGAGAGGACGGCCAGCCACACUGGGACUGAGACACGGCCCAGACUCCUACGGGAGGCAGCAGUGGGGAAUUUUGGACAAUGGGGGAAACCCUGAUCCAGCCAUGCCGCGUGAGUGAGGAAGGCCUUCGGGUUGUAAAGCUCUUUCAGCCGGAACGAAACGGUUACGGAUAAUACCCGUGACUACUGACGGUACCGGAAGAAGAAGCACCGGCUAACUACGUGCCAGCAGCCGCGGUAAUACGUAGGGUGCGAGCGUUAAUCGGAAUUACUGGGCGUAAAGCGUGCGCAGGUGGUUUUGUAAGUCAGAUGUGAAAGCCCCGGGCUCAACCUGGGAACU
rnacentral:rRNA from 1 species